GAUGAACGCUGGCGGCGUGCUUGAUACAUGCAAGUCGAACGGAGAGUGUAGCAAUAUACUUUUAGUGGCGAACGGGUGAGUAACGCGUUGGUGACCUGCCCCGAAGCGAGGGAUAACAGUUCGAAAGAACUGCUAAUACCUCAUGUGAUCACCGGUUUUAGAAUCUGGUGAUUAAAGGUGAAAAUCACUUCGGGAGGGGCCUGCGUCCCAUCAGCUAGUUGGUAAGGUAAUGGCUUACCAAGGCGAUGACGGGUAGGGGACCUGAGAGGGUGGCCCCCCACAAUGGAACUGAAACACGGUCCAUACACCUACGGGUGGCAGCAGUAGGGAAUAUUGCAAAUGGGCGAAAGCCUGAUGUAGCAACGCCGCGUGUGCGAUGAAGGUCUUCGGAUUGUAAAGCAACUUUUUUGGAGGGAUGAGGAAGGACAGUACCUCCAGAAUAAAGCCUCGGCUAACUAACGUGCCCAAGCCAGCCGCGGGUAAAGCUAGUCUACG
rnacentral:rRNA from 1 species